rnacentral:rRNA from 2 species
UAAUUGAAGAGUUUGAUCAUGGCUCAGAUUGAACGCUGGCGGCAGGCCUAACACAUGCAAGUCGGGCGGUAACAGGGAGAAGCUUGCUUCUCUGCUGACGAGCGGCGGACGGGUGAGUAAUGUAUGGGGAUCUGCCUGAUGGCGGGGGAUAACUACUGGAAACGGUAGCUAAUACCGCAUAAUGUCU